AGCGAACGCUGGCGGCAGGCUUAACACAUGCAAGUCGAACGGGCUUCUUCGGAAGUCAGUGGCAGACGGGUGAGUAACACGUGGGAACGUGCCCUUCGGUUCGGAAUAACUCAGGGAAACUUGAGCUAAUACCGGAUACGCCCUUUUGGGGAAAGGUUUACUGCCGAAGGAUCGGCCCGCGUCUGAUUAGCUUGUUGGUGGGGUAACGGCCUACCAAGGCGACGAUCAGUAGCUGGUCUGAGAGGAGGCUUAGCCACACUGGGACUGAGACACGGACCAGACUCCUACGGGAGGCAGCAGUGGGGAAUAUUGGACAAUGGGCGCAAGCCUGAUCCAGCCAUGCCGGGUGAGUGAUGAAGGCCUUAGGGUUGUAAAGCCCUUUUGUACGGGACGAUAAUGACGGUACCGGAAGAAUAAGCCCCGGCUAACUUCGUG
rnacentral:rRNA from 1 species